rnacentral:tRNA from 1 species
AGCACCGUUGUGUAGUCGGUUAACGCAUCGGCGUACAUUGCCGAAGUCGUUGGUUCGAAUCCAGCCGAUACCC